rnacentral:rRNA from 1 species
ACGGAAGGCAGCAGUGGGGAAUAUUGCACAAUGGGGGAAACCCUGAUGCAGCAACGCCGCGUGAAGGAAGACGGUCUUCGGAUUGUAAACUUCUGUUCUUAGUGAAGAUAAUGACGGUAGCUAAGGAGCAAGCCACGGCUAACUACGUGCCAGCAGCCGCGGUAAUACGUAGGUGGCAAGCGUUGUCCGGAAUUACUGGGUGUAAAGGGAGCGCAGGCGGGAAAUCAAGUUGGAUGUGAAAUGUCGGGGCUUAACCCCGGAACUGCAUCCAAAACUGAUUUUCUUGAGUGAAGUAGAGGUAGGCGGAAUUCCGAGUGUAGCGGUGAAAUGCGUAGAUAUUCGGAGGAACACCAGUGGCGAAGGCGGCCUGCUGGGCUUUAACUGACGCUGAGGCUCGAAAGUGUGGGGAGCAAACAGGAUUAGAUACCCUGGUA